UGCCCCCUUCCGGGGUUACCUGGCGGAAGCCUUUGCAGCCGUCUCUACGGUUGGUUCCCGCGACUCAAAACAAGGGGGACCGCAUGCAAGUCAGCGCGCGGCUGGCGACACUUUCGAACUGACGGGGACUCCCUAAAGCCUGUCCCACUAACCGAGCGCUGGAAACGGCCUCGGGGCUCGAGGGCAAUGCCUCGAGGAGUAACAGAGGACAUGGAUGCGUCGACCGCGCGGUCGACGCAAUGGGUGAUCCGCAGCGAAGCCCCUACGUCUUGUGGCCAAGAUAGGGGGAACGUUCACAGACUAAGUGGAAGUGGGUGGAGCAAGGCGCUUGCUCUGCUUAAGAUAUAGUCGGGCCUCAGGGGAAACCUUGGGGGGCACCACCGUUCCGUAGGUGAACCUGCGGAAGGAUCAUUA
rnacentral:rRNA from 1 species